rfam:Salmo salar isolate Sally breed double haploid chromosome ssa19, whole genome shotgun sequence.
UGCAUUCACUACUGUAAGUCGCUCUGGAUAAGAGUGUCUGCUAAAUUACUUAAA